GAUGAAGAACGCAGCGAAAUGCGAUAAGUAGUGUGAAUUGCAGAAUUCAGUGAAUCAUCGAAUCUUUGAACGCACAUUGCGCCCCUUGGUAUUCCAUGGGGCAUGCCUGUUCGAGCGUCAUUUGUACCUUCAAGCUCUGCUUGGUGUUGGGUGUUUGUCUCGCCUCUGCGUGUAGACUCGCCUUAAAACAAUUGGCAGCCGGCGUAUUGAUUUCGGAGCGCAGUACAUCUCGCGCUUUGCACUCAUAACGACGACGUCCAAAAGUACAUUUUUACACUCUUGACCUCGGAUCAGGUAGGGAUACCCGCUGAACUUAAGCAUAUCAAAAGCGGAGGA
rnacentral:misc_RNA from 1 species